rnacentral:lncRNA from 1 species
UCUGCAAUAUCAAUGCCAAAAGUCAGAUCACAAAAAUAUGACCAAUCUCACCGUUUUUUGUUCAUAAUCAUGCACCAAAGUGAUCAAAAGAGUUAAUAUCAUAAACGCAUAACAAACUAUUUGUUUUUUAUAAAACAUUAUUGUUUUAAAAAGUACCAUAUUUGGUUAACGAACUACACGUUUUUUUUUACAAAAUACCAUUAAAAUCAAAUGGUACACAAAGUUCCAACUGCUUAACUUAUGAUAGUACAUUAUCAAUAAAUAAAUAAAUAAAUUAGUUGGGAUCUAGCAUUGGUUCUUGUUGUCCUUUAUGGGCUAAUCUCAAAGCUUUUAAAUCUUUUUAGGGAUUAUUAAAUUUGGAUGUUUGUUGUUUGUACACAUUAAUUAAUACUAACAUUUGAAAUCCUUUUGGCUUAAGAUCUCCCAUGGUUAUCCUUCAGGAGAGAGAAACAAAGACAUAUAUGAAGGAGAUCUAUGAUCCUUUUGUUUUAGAUCUCACUUGCUCUAUUUUAUUAAAUAAAAAUCUUUUGAGAAAAAAAUGAUUGUAGAAUUGUGUACAAAUCCAUGAACUAUAUCUAAAUAGUUAUUGUAUUGGGAAAUAAUUCUAACAGCUAAUUUUAUUUCUCCCAACACGCUUUAACUUUAUUUUUCUUGAUUUGUGUAAUUACACCAGCCUUUUUUUAGGGGCCCAAGUGCAAUAAGACAAUACACCGUUCAUUAAUGUCAUUUGUAAGUAUUCUCGGAUGCCUAAAAAACAAGACACACGUGAUCACUACCUCAAAGACAAAAAGCCCAAGAUACGAUAUGCCAACACCCGGCUCAUGUUAGCCAGAUACACAAUUUUGCCACCCAUGGCUACCGUGAGCAUGCACAAAUCAAGAAUCUCACACACUAUACACUAUAGAUCCAGUACAUACUGAUUUGAAGUUGAAGUUGACUUCAGUAAGUUCACGGUUGUUAACAAAAUAAUCAAAGGAGAAUCGAAAUUUUAAAAAAAAAAAUUAGCUCAGAUCUAAUGCUAGCGCACGAUAACAAGUGGAUUUUAACUAAUAUACGCGGUUUACUUAGAGUGUUGAGACAUUAUUAUAAGGGAAGUAAUAUUAAUAAAGAUUUUGUGGUUAAAAUAGUGUAGAACCAGAUCUAGCCAGUAUAAGGGAAAGUGUACGUACCACAUCGGUAGCAGAUGGUGCCGGAGAUAGAUCGGUGGCUAGAGAAGGAGAAGGAGCACCGGUGGGAGGUGCCGGUGGGCUUGAAAGUAAAGGAGAAGGAGCAACCGUCGGAGUCACACUAGGAGUGGGAGAUGAAACGGGGACAGGAGCAGGGGGGGAAGCGAGUGGAGCAGGUGGUGGUGAGGCGACAGGAGGAGGAGUAGCUGGUGGCGGUGAUGCAACAGGAGGAGGAGUAGCAGGAGGUGGUGAUGCAACAGGAGGAGGGGUAGCCGGUGGUGGUGAAGCAACAGGAGGAGGAGUAGUUGGUGGUGGUGAGGCAACGGUGGGAGGUGCGGCUACAGGGGGAGGAGUGGAGGUUGGUGGAGAUGCGACUUGAGGUGGGGGAGCGGUGGUGGUAGGAGGAGGAGAUGCGACGACUUGUGGUGGGGAAGUGGUGGGGGAGGAAGAGGGAGAUUGACCGCCGACGGAGGAGAUGACAAUGCAGAUGAAAGCCGUGAGGAAGACGGCGUUGCGAUCCAUGGUUAACGUGCGCCGCUGAUGGUGGUAUAUGUUAACCUAAAUGGUUGAAGAUGAAGGUAUGGAUACAAAGUGGGAAGU